UUCUCCCGGUAUCCCCGGUAUUCCCGGUAUUCCCGGUUUCCCGGUACCUGCUUGCAGCGCUCCAGGAACGCCGCCCGGAUUUCCCAUCCCCAUUCCCAUUACCCCCAGUAUCCCGGUAUCCCCGGUGUCCCCCAUUCCCGGUAUUCCCGGUAUCCCCGGUAUCCCCGGUAUCCCCGGUAUUCCCGGUAUUCCCGGUAUCCCCAUCCCCCAUUCCCGGUAUCCCCGGUAUUCCCGGUAUCCCCGGUUUCCCGGUAUUCCCGGUAUUGUAUCCCGGUAUUCCCGGUUUCCCGGUACCUGCUUGCAGCGCUCCAGGAACGCCGCCCGGAUUUCCCAUCCCCAUUCCCAUUACCCCCAGUAUCCCGGUAUCCCCGGUGUCCCCCAUUCCCGGUAUCCCCGGUAUUCCCGGUAUUCCCGGUAUUCCCGGUUUCCCGGUAUCCCCCAUCCCGGUAUUCCCGGUUUCCCGGUACCUGCUUGCAGCGCUCCAGGAACGCCGCCCGGAUUUCCCAUCCCCAUUCCCAGUAUCCCGGUAUUCCCGGUAUCCCCGGUAUUCCCGGUAUUCCCGGUUUCCCGGUACCUGCUUGCAGCGCUCCAGGAACGCCGCCCGGAUUUCCCAUUCCCAUUCCCAGUAUCCCGGUAUCCCUGGUAUCCCCGGUAUCCCCGGUAUUCCCGGUAUUCCCGGUAUUCCCGGUAUUCCCGGUAUUCCCGGUAUCCCCGGUAUCCCCGGUAUUCCCGGUUUCCCGGUACCUGCUUGCAGCGCUCCAGGAACGCCGCCCGGAUUUCCCUGGGGGAGGCUCCAGGACGAACCCCGAGCACCGAGUGGGGGUCGGGGGGGCCCGGCCUGGGGGGGUUGGGAGAAUUUGGGGAAUUUGGGGAAUUUUUGGGGAAUUUUUGGAAUUUUUGGGAAUUUUUGGGGAUUUUUGGGAAUUUUUGGGGAAUUUUGGGGAAUUUUUGGGGAUUUUUUGGGAUUUUUUUGAGAUUUUGGGGGAUUUUUUGGAGAUUUUUUGGGAUUUUUUGGGAUUUUUUGGGGGAAUUUUGGGGGAUUUUGGGGAAUUUUGGGGUAAUUUUGGAGAUUUUGGGGAUUUUUGGGAAUUUUUGGGGAUUUUUGGGAAUUUUUGGGAAUUUUUUUGAGAUUUUUUUGCGGGAUUUUGGGGGAUUUUUGGUAUUUUUGGGGGGAUUUUUUUUUUAUUUUGGGGAGAUUUUUUGGAGAAUUUGGGGGGAUUUUGGGGAAUUUUGGGGAAUUUUGGGAAUUUUUGGGGAAUUUUUGGGAAUUUUUUGGGAAUUUUUGGGAAUUUUUUGGGGAUUUUUUGAGAUUUUUGGGGAUUUUUUUGAGAUUUUUUGGGGGGAUAUUUUUGGGAUUUUUUGGGAUUUUUGGGGGGAAUUUUGGGGGAUUUUUGGGGAUUUUGGGGUAAUUUUGGAGAUUUUGGGGAUUUUGGGAAUUUUCGGGGAAUUUUUGGGAUUUUUGGAGAUUUUUUGGGGGGAUGUUGGGAAUUUUUGGUAUUUUUGGGGGGAUUUUUUUGGAUUUUGGGGGGAUUUUUUUUGGAAUUUGGGGGGAUUUUGGGUAAUUUUGGGGGAAUUUUGGAGAUUUUGGGGAUUUUGGGGAUUUUCGGGGAUUUUUUGGGAUUUUUUUGAGAUUUUUUGGGGGGAUUUUUGGAAUUUUUGGGAUUUUUGGGGGGAUUUUUUUUGGAUUUUUGGUGGAUUUUUUUGGAUAUUUUGGGGAAUUUGGGGGGAUUUUGGGGAAUUUUGGGGUAAUUUUGGAGAUUUUGGGGAUUUGGGGAAUUUUUUGGGAUUUUUUGGGAUUUUUUGGGAUUUUUUUGAGAUUUUUUUGGGGGAUUUUGGGGGUUUUUUGGUAUUUUUGGGGGGAUUUUUUUGGGAUUUUUUAGGGGGAUUUUUGGGAUUUUUGAGAUUUUUUGGGGGGAUAUUUUUGGGAUUUUUUUGGGGAAUUUUGGGGGAUUUUGGGGAAUUUUGGGGUAAUUUUGGAGAUUUUGGGGGAAUUUUUUGGGAUUUUUUUGAGAUUUUGGGGAUUUUCGGAAUUUUUGGGAUUUUUUUUGAUUUUUGGGAUUUUUUGGGAUUUUUUUGGAGAUUUUUUGGGGGGGAUUUGGGGGAUUUUUUUUGGAAUUUGGGGGGAUUUUGGGUAAUUUUGGGGUAAUUUUGGAGAUUUUGGGGAUUUUGGGGGAUUUUUGGAGAUUUUGGGGGAAUUUUUUUGGAUUUUUUGGAGAUUUUGGGGGGAUUUUGGGAAUUUUUGGGGAUUUUUUGGGAUUUUUUGAGAUUUUUUGGGAUUUUUUGAGAUAUUUUGGGGGGAUUUUUGGGAUUUUUGGGGAAUUUUGGGGGAUUUUGGGAAUUUUUGGGGAUUUCUUUGAUUUUUAGAGAUUUCUUGGGGGAUUUUUGGGAUUUUGGGGGAUUUUUUUUGGAAUUUUUUGGAAUUUUUUUUGAUUUCUUGGGGGAUUUUUGGGGAUUUUUUGGGGAUUUUUUUGGGGGAUUUUGGGAAUUUUGGGGGAUUUUUUUGGAUUUUGUAGAUUUUUAGGGAUUUCUUGGGGGAUUUUUGGGCUUUUGGGGGAUUUUUUUGGAAUCUUUUGGGAUUUUUGGGGAUUUUUUUGGGGUUUUUUUGGGUAUUUUUGGGAUUUUAGGGGAUUUUUGGGGGGAUUUUGGGUGAAUUUUUGGGAAUUUUUGGGAAUUUUUAAGGAUUUUUGGUGAUUUUGGGGGAUUUUGGCGAUUUUGGUUUUUUUUUAUUUUUUUUAUUUUUUUUGGAUUUUUUGGGGAUUUUUGGGGAUUUUGGGAUUUUUUUGGAUUUUUUUGGAUUUUUUUGUAUUUUUGUGGGAUUUUUGGGGAUUUUUUUUAUUUUUGGGGGGAUUUUGGGGGAUUUUUGGUUUUUUUAAAUUUUUGGGGAUUUGGGGAGAUUUUUUGGGCAGUUUUUGCGGGAUUUGGGAGGAUUUUUGGGAAAUUUUUGUUUAUUUUGGUGAGUUUUGGGAUAUUUGGGGCAGUUUUGGGAUAUUUUGGGAUAUUUUGGGGCAUUUUCAGGUCAUUUUGGGGCAGAUUUGGGAUAUUUUUGGAUAUUUUGGGGCAGUUUUGGGCUAUUUCAGGUCAGUUUUGGGCUAUUUUGGGAUAUUUUGGGUCAGUUUUGGGACAUUUUGGGGCAAUUUUUGACAUUUUGGGGCAGUUUGGGGGCAUUUGGGGCUAUUUUGGGGCAGUUUUUGGCUAUUUUGGGGUAUUUUGGGAUAUUUUGGGACAUUUUGGAAUAUUUUGGGGCUGUCUGCGUAUUUUGGGAUAUUUUGGGGCAGUUUCGGGUGAUUUUGGGGCAGUUUGGGACAUUUUGGGUCCGUUUUGGGCUAUUUUGGGAUAUUUCGGGUCAGUUUUGGGCUAUUUCGGGGUGUUUUGGGCUAUUUUGGGGCAUUUUCGGGUGAUUUUGGGUCAGUUUUGGGCUAUUUUGGGUAUUUUGAGUCAUUUUGGGUCAGUUUUGGGCUAUUUCGGGGUGUUUUGGGCUAUUUUGGGGCAUUUUCGGGUGAUUUUGGGAUAUUUCGGGUCAGGUUUGGGCUAUUUUGGGUCAGUUUUUGGCUAUUUUGGGUCAGUUUUGGGCUAUUUUGGGUCAUUUUGGGAUAUUUCGGGUCAGUUUUGGGCUAUUGGGGGCAGUUUUUGGCUGUUUUGGGCUAUUUUGGGUCAGUUUUGGGUUAUUUUGGGUCGUUUUGGGCUAUUUUGGGACAGUUUUGGGCUAUUUUGGGGCAGUUUUGGGUUAUUUUGGGGCAGUUUUUGGGUCAUUUCGGGCCAGUUUUGGGCUAUUUUGGGUCAUUUGGGGUCAGUUUUGGGCCAUUUUGGGGCAGUUUUUGGCUGUUUUGGGGUAUUUUGGGUCAGUUUUGGGCUAUUUUGGGGCAGUUUUGGGGCAGUUUUUGGGUAUUUUGGGUCAGUUUUGGGCUAUUUUGGGUCAGUUUUGGGCUAUUUUGGGGCAGUUUUGGGGCUAUUUUGGGGCAGUUUUGGGGCAGUUUUUGGGUAUUUCGGGUCUCACCUGCUGCUGAGGCCCCUCCAGGGCCGGGCCCAGCGCCCCUGUGGGAACGGCCCCAAUUAAUACCCUUAAUUAAUGACUAAUUAACCCUUCAUUAACCCUGAAUAAACCACUAAUUAACCAUGAAACCCGACGGUUC
rnacentral:lncRNA from 1 species